rnacentral:lncRNA from 1 species
GGCCGGGCUCGGAGGCUCGCGGCCGGAGCGGAGCGGAGUGCGCACGCCGGGGUGGCAGGACUUCGGCAAGACCAACUUUCCGGUUCGGAAGCGGCGCGGGCCGCGCGGCUCCUCCCCUCCUCUCCCUCCCCUGCGUUCCCCCUCCCUUCCACUCCCCCCUCUCCCCGCCCCCCAACCCGCGGGCCCCACCGACUCCGGAGCGCCCGCCCCGCCCGCUGCUGCCACCGGGCCGCCUCGCCCCCGCGCCAGCCCGCCUGGGCCUCUGCGCCGCCGGCGGCUUCUUAAAUACAGGAAAGGGAGGGGACCGCAGGGCCCCGGUGUUCCCCACCCUAGUCCCCCUUCACCACGGGCCACCGGGCGCCAGCGGAGUGGGCAGCGAGCGCGACCGAAAGUUCCAACUCCACCAAACUCCCGCGCGCGGCCCACCCUUUCCCGGGAUUUCGGGGAUGACACGGGGGCCAGUGGUCCUGUCUGGUGUGAACCGUCAGCACAGAUGGCCUCCUGGAGCUUCCCCGAGUCGUUCGCUGGGGGAAGCGGGCGGAUUAAGGAGUUUGGGGAAGUCGCAGAGCUGCAGCGGAAAGGCAGGGGUCUGAGACUACUUUUGAGAAGAGAAACAACGCAAAACGAUCGCUGGAGGGCCAGAGCCCUGGUCGAAGAAGCAGACACAGGUUCCCACGGCGUCUGACGCCUGCGGAGCAAGUCCAGAGCCAGCUGGACUCGCAGCCUCUGGCCCGGCGGCACCAACUCCUCACUGGGUCAUUUUGAGCGCGCUGUGCCCACCUUUUCUGUUGCGUGUGGACGUGGGGAGGAUCUUCUAAGUCCCUCCAACGAAGGCAAGUGUGAGACUCUGGCCCUUUAUUUGUAAGAAGCAAGCCUUCAGAUUGCAGAAGUGUCGCGCGGGUCGCCGUGCGUUGCGCGAGUGGGAAGAUGGAGGAGGCCGGCACGCUGCUUUCGUGGACGCAAGUGAACCGGGCGUGAAGGCAGGGUGCGAGCUCUGCCCUUGGCCCAGCCCUGCGUGGGCGCCGUCCCAGAUUCCGGGCGGUGCGGGGUGCAGAGAUCUGGAGAGACUUGCGGGCUCCCCAGCGCAGGCUGCUCUGGGAUUUCGUUGGAAGAUCCGGCAGAGCCUUGGAGGAGAGGGCCCGGGAGGCUGUGUGUGCAGCGGAAACUUGUACGAAUGCCCCCACAGCGGAAAUGGUGCGCACGAGUAAUUUCUGCGGUGCACCCUUUUAAAAAUUGACAAGUGAACAAGAUCAAUUUUUUAAGAAAGCAAAGGUAGAAAACAAAAGGCGUGCGACUUCUUGACUGGCUUGUUCCCGCCUUUCUUCCUUCUCUAUACUCAGAUCAGAAACUUUUCUUUAAUUGCUCUUAUUCAGUGCGACAACUUUUAAUAAAAGCAUUUGCAUUUUAAGCCUGAGUUGCAACCAUAGAUUUAUUGCGAAGUGACAACGUGUCUAUGGAAUAUUUUCGCAGAUGAGACAGGACAUGCGCUCUAGUCGUGCCCAGAUUAAAGCGACGCUGGGCCAUGUGCCUGUGUAGUGCAGACUCGGAGGGGCACACACAUACUCGUCACCACAUGACCACUGUCUAUUAAUAUUGUCAUACCUAAACACUCGCAAAAACAAAAGUUGCUUUUCUUCCCUGUAAUUAAAUCUAAUUUG